rnacentral:rRNA from 1 species
UACGUAGGGGGCAAGCGUUGUCCGGAAUCAUUGGGCGUAAAGAGCGUGUAGGCGGCCAGAUAAGUCCGCUGUGAAAUCUCGAGGCUCAACUUCGAGCUGUCGGUGGAAACUGUCUGGCUAGAGUCCGGAAGAGGAGAAUGGAAUUCCUGGUGUAGCGGUGAAAUGCGCAGAUAUCAGGAGGAACACCCGUAGCGAAGGCGGCACUCUGGGCCGAUACUGACACUGAGGAGCGAAAGCGUGGGGAGCGAACAGG